rnacentral:rRNA from 1 species
GACGAACGCUGGCGGCGUGCUUAACACAUGCAAGUCGAACGGAAAGGCCCUGCUUUUGUGGGGUGCUCGAGUGGCGAACGGGUGAGUAACACGUGAGUAACCUGCCCUUGACUUUGGGAUAACUUCAGGAAACUGGGGCUAAUACCGGAUAGGAGCUCCUGCUGCAUGGUGGGGGUUGGAAAGUUUCGGCGGUUGGGGAUGGACUCGCGGCUUAUCAGCUUGUUGGUGGGGUAGUGGCUUACCAAGGCUUUGACGGGUAGCCGGCCUGAGAGGGUGACCGGCCAGAUUGGGACUGAGAUACGGCCCAGACUGCUACGGGAGGGAGGAGUGGGGGAUAUUGCAAAAUGGGCGGAAGCCUGAUGCAGCAACGCCGCGUGCGGGAUGAAGGCCGUCGGGUUGUAAACCGCUUUCGCCUGUGACGAAGCGUGAGUGAAGGUAAUGGGUAAAGAAGCACCGGCUAACUACGUG